AUGGAGUGGGCAUGCAGACUCCUUCUCCUGCCGGUGGCCGCCACAGGUGUCCACUCGCAAGUCCAGCUGCUGCAGUCUGGGCCUGAGCUGAAGAAGCCUGGGGAGUCAGUGAAGGUCUCCUGCAAAGGCUCUGGGCACAUGUUCACCAGCUAUAGUAUAUUCUGGGUGAAGCAGGUGCCAGGGAAAGGCCUGCAGUACAUGGGCUGGAUCAACACCAAAACUGCAAAGCCAAUAUACGCUGAGGGCUUCACAGGACGAUUUGUCUUCUCCCUGGAUGCCUCUGUCAGCACAGCAUAUCUGCAGAUCAGCAGCCUGCAGGCUGGAGACACAGCCAUGUAUUACUGUGCAAGACACAGUGAGCAUACCACAUCCUGAGAGUGUCAGAAACCCUGGGGGAUGAGCUCUCCCUGGCUGAGGCAGCAGCAGGG